rnacentral:rRNA from 1 species
UCCGGUUGAUCCUGCCGGACCUGACUGCUAUCGGAUUGAUACUAAGCCAUGCGAGUCUUUGUAGUAAUACAAGGCAGACGGCUCAGUAACGCGUAGUCAACCUACCCUAUGGACGGGAAUAAUCUCGGGAAACUGAGCAUAAUACCCGGCGUACCACCAUUCCUGGAAUGGUUGGUGGUUAAAAUGAUUCGUCGCCGUAGGAUGGGACUGCGACCUAUCAGCUUGUUGGUGAGGUAAAGGCCCACCAAGGCGAUUACAGGUACGGGCUCUGAGAGGAGAAGCCCGGAGAUGGGUACUGAGACACGGACCCAGGCCCUAUGGGGCGCAGCAGGCGAGAAAACUUUGCAAUGUGCGAAAGCACGACAAGGUUAAUCCGAGUGAUUUCUGCUAAAGGAAUCUUUUGCCAGUUCUAAAAAUACUAGUGAAUAAGGGGUGGGCAAGUUCUGGUGUCAGCCGCCGCGGUAAAACCAGCACCUCAAGUGGUCAGGAGGAUUAUUGGGCCUAAAGCAUCCGUAGCCUGCUCUGUAAGUUUUCGGUUAAAUCUAUAUGCUCAACGUAUAGGCUGCCGAAAAUACUGCAGUGCUAGGAAGUGGGAGAGGUAGACGGUACUUGAUAGGAAGGGGUAAAAUCCUUUGAUCUAUCGAUGACCACCUGUGGCGAAGGCGGUCUAUCAGAACACGUUCGACGGUGAGGGAUGAAAGCUGGGGGAGCAAACCGGAUUAGAUACCCGGGUAGUCCCAGCCGUAAACGAUGCAGACUCGAUGAUGCAUUGGCAUAUAGCCAGUGCAGUGUCGCAGGGAAGCCGUUAAGUCUGCCGCCUGGGAAGUACGUACGCAAGUAUGAAACUUAAAGGAAUUGGCGGGGGAGCACCACAAGGGGUGAAGCCUGCGGUUCAAUUGGAUUCAACGCCGGG